rnacentral:rRNA from 1 species
CGGCGUGCCUAAUACAUGCAAGUCGAGCGAACGGACGAGAAGCUUGCUUCUCUGAUGUUAGCGGCGGACGGGUGAGUAACACGUGGAUAACCUACCUAUAAGACUGGGAUAACUUCGGGAAACCGGAGCUAAUACCGGAUAAUAUUUUGAACCGCAUGGUUCAAAAGUGAAAGACGGUCUUGCUGUCACUUAUAGAUGGAUCCGCGCUGCAUUAGCUAGUUGGUAAGGUAACGGCUUACCAAGGCAACGAUGCAUAGCCGACCUGAGAGGGUGAUCGGCCGCACUGGAACUGAGACACGGUCCAGACUCCUACGGAAGGCAGCAGUAGGGAAUCUUCCGCAAUGGGCGAAAGCCUGACGGAGCAACGCCGCGUGAGUGAUGAAGGUCUUCGGAUCGUAAAACUCUGUUAUUAGGGAAGAACAUAUGUGUAAGUAACUGUGCACAUCUUGACGGUACCUAAUCAGAAAGCCACGGCUAACUACGUGCCAGCAGCCGCGGUAAUACGUAGGUGGCAAGCGUUAUCCGGAAUUAUUGGGCGUAAAGCGCGCGUAGGCGGUUUUUUAAGUCUGAUGUGAAAGCCCACGGCUCAACCGUGGAGGGUCAUUGGAAACUGGAAAACUUGAGUGCAGAAGAGGAAAGUGGAAUUCCAUGUGUAGCGGUGAAAUGCGCAGAGAUAUGGAGGAACACCAGUGGCGAAGGCGACUUUCUGGUCUGUAACUGACGCUGAUGUGCGAAAGCGUGGGGAUCAAACAGGAUUAG